rnacentral:rRNA from 1 species
UAGGGUGAACCUGCGGAGGGAUCAUUACCGAGUUUACAACUCCCAAACCCCUGUGAACAUACCUAUACGUUGCCUCGGCGGAUCAGCCCGCGCCCCGUAAAACGGGACGGCCCGCCCGAGGACCCCUAAACUCUGUUUUUAGUGGAACUUCUGAGUAAAACAAACAAAUAAAUCAAAACUUUCAACAACGGAUCUCUUGGUUCUGGCAUCGAUGAAGAACGCAGCAAAAUGCGAUAAGUAAUGUGAAUUGCAGAAUUCAGUGAAUCAUCGAAUCUUUGAACGCACAUUGCGCCCGCCAGUAUUCUGGCGGGCAUGCCUGUUCGAGCGUCAUUUCAACCCUCAAGCUCAGCUUGGUGUUGGGACUCGCGGUAACCCGCGUUCCCCAAAUCGAUUGGCGGUCACGUCGAGCUUCCAUAGCGUAGUAAUCAUACACCUCGUUACUGGUAAUCGUCGCGGCCACGCCGUAAAACCCCAACUUCUGAAUGUUGACCUCGGAUCAUGUACGAUGAAUACUCGCUGAACUUAAGCAUAUCAAUAAGCCCUACGA